GCUAUUCAGUUUAUUCAAGACAAAUUGCCUUCAACAAACUAGCUUCAACAACUUCAACGGAUAAUGAUGAUCCAGCUUUUAUUGAGAUACCAAGAGCAUAAAGUGGAUCUGUCAAGUUGCUGUGACGCCAAGAUCAUAAAAGCUUUGUCCUCCAUCAACUCUAUUAUAAGUUUAGAACAGAGGAUUCAAGCAAGGAGUUACACCAUCAGCAUCUACCAUCUGAGGUGCAUAAGCAACCAAGACAACUUUUAAGAAGAAAUAAAGCUCGACACUUUGAAAGCAAAGAAGAUAAAGUGUUAAAGGAUUGUCAUUAUCAAAACAGACCAAGAUUCCGAAUGAAAAAGUACUUCAAGACUAGUUGUUGUUGAAAACCAUUGUGCACGUAAAUCAAGCAAAGGUAGAAGCAACCACAGUAACCACAAGAGAGAAAGGAAAAAUAAUAUGAGAAUAACGAAGAGGAACACAGAAAGCUAGCUGAAGAUACAUCUUAUACAGAGAAAAGAAUAACAGCAAGCACAAGAUCUUCUUCAAAUCCUAAAGCAAUCAAGUUAAAUUAAACAACCGGCUCAUUUAGUGUUCCAACAAACCCAAAGUUAUGAGGCUACAACUUUUUAUAACCAGAGGCAAUAAGCUUUCAACUUCAGAAAUAUGUUUACACUAAAGAAACAACUCGAGGAAAAUCAAAGUACUCCAAUAAAAUUCUCAUCUGAGGAGACAAUAAAGAUAAAAUCUUGAAAAAUUGAUAUUCAUGGGAAAGGACAGAGAAGGUGCAAAAACAGUCGAAGAGUUUACAAGUGAUCUUCGGAAAAAGAGUAUAAAUACAAGCUAAAAAGUCGCUCUAAGAUUUGAGAUGAUUGAAGUUUAUCUGCAUACAAGUUUGAAGAAUUGUUUUAAAAAAAUAAAUAAAUAAAUAAAGAGACAGAUCAGCAUUUAUUUAGCCAGAUGGUGACUCUUAAAACUACUACAAACAAGAAGAUCAAGCUCUCAGUCAAGGUCCUACUAGAAGGAAAUAAUCCAUUCAACACAGAAAAAGGGGCAAGGACACUAUACAGUCAAUAUUGCAGGUUGUCAAACGGCUUUCGGUAAUAUGCUCUUGUUCCGCAUAAUCAAUCUUCAUUCGGAGGAAGCAAAGACAUUGCAUCACCAAAUCAUUAUGCAACUCUGAAUUUAAAAUGCAAUGGGAAAAAAUCAAAGACCAACAUAUGCUAUAUAAAAAUAAUAUUCCAUCAAUAGUUUAUUCAAACAAGCUGAGUAUAAUUGAAGACUAGGCCAGAAUUCAAUUCUUACUGUGACUUGAAUAGCAGCAUAGGCAGUGGGUUCUUAUAAAAAAGACAAGAUAUCAACUACAAAGCUUCAUCAGCAAAAGUAACUUCCAUCUUUGACAAAUAACAGAACUUUGAUGAGCGAAUUUCAAC
rnacentral:lncRNA from 1 species